GACGAACGCUGGCGGCGUGCCUAAUACAUGCAAGUAGAACGCACAGUUUAUACCGUAGCUUGCUACACCAUAGACUGUGAGUUGCGAACGGGUGAGUAACGCGUAGGUAACCUGCCUGGUAGCGGGGGAUAACUAUUGGAAACGAUAGCUAAUACCGCAUAAUAUUGAUUAUUGCAUGAUAAUUAAUUGAAAGGUGCAAUUGCACCACUACCAGAUGGACCUGCGUUGUAUUAGCUAGUAGGUGAGGUAACGGCUCACCUAGGCGACGAUACAUAGCCGACCUGAGAGGGUGAUCGGCCACACUGGGACUGAGACACGGCCCAGACUCCUACGGGAGGCAGCAGUAGGGAAUCUUCGGCAAUGGACGAAAGUCUGACCGAGCAACGCCGCGUGAGUGAAGAAGGGUUUCGGAUCGUAAAGCUCGGUUGUAAGAGAAGAACGGGUGUGAGAGUGGAAAGUUCACACUGUGACGGUAUCUUACCAGAAAGGGACGGCUAACUACGUG
rnacentral:rRNA from 1 species